UUGGAGGCCGGGGAAAAGUUGACUUUUCUUCGUAAGACGGCGUGUCCCUCGAAUCUCGUCGCGAGGAGAAAGGGACGCUGCCGUCGAAAGAGCACGGUCGCUGCUGCCGUGUCCGGUGCGCCUCCGCCGGCCCUUGAAAAACCGAGGGAGAGGGUGUGAUUUUCGUGCCGGUCCGUACCCAUAUCCGCAGCAGGUCUCCAAGGUGAACAGCCUCUAGUCUCUAGAACAAUGUAGGUAAGGGAAGUCGGCAAGUUCGAUCCCUAACCUCGGAAAAAGGAUUGGCUCUUGUGUCUCGGUCUCUCUGGACUUCCAUAAUUAUUUCUGAAGCUCCUAUCGUGACGGGGACUGGUCUUCGAGAUCGGACUCCGUACUCGAGGUGGGGUGGACGGUGGAAGGUCCUUCUCCCUAAUCAAUGGGGGUUUGGAGUGCCGGAGGACGAGCAUGAGACGAACAAGAACUGGCACGGACCCGGGGAAUCCGACUGUCUAAUUAAAACAAAGCAUUGCGACGGCCGGAGAGCGGUGUUGACGCAAUGUGAUUUCUGCCCAGUGCUCUGAAUGUCAAAGUGAAGAAAUUCACCGAAGCGCGGGUAAACGGCGGAAGUAACUAUGACUUUCUUAAGGUAGCCAAACGCCUCGUCAUCUAAUUAGUGACGCGCAUGAAUGGAUUAACGAGAUUCCCACUGUCCCUAUCUACUAUCUAGCGAAACCGCAGCCAAGGGAACGGACUUGGCGAAUUCAUCGGGGAAAGAAGACCCUUUCGAGCUUGACUCUAGUCUGACUUUGUUCUAAGGCAUUAUUGGCGUAGUCUAGGUGGGAACCCUUUCCCCAUCGAGGGUCGGGGUGAGAUGUGAAAUACCACUACUUUGAUCGCCUUGGGACUCAUUCGGUGAUGUUCUAGAAUUUUUUCCAAGUGAAAGAAUUGUUUCAAUCGUGCUUUGAAGCGUCGCUCAAUUGGGGGCGAUGCGAGGAACUCCGAAGACAGUGUCAGGCAGGCAGUUUGUCUGGGGCGGAACAUCUGUCAAAUGGCAACGCAGGUGUCCCAAGGCCGGCUCGGCCGGGACGGAAACCUGGCUUAGAGCAAAGGGGCAAAAGCCGGCUUGCUCUCGUUCUUCAGCAAGGAAGGGGACCUGGAAACAGGGGCCCAUCGAUCCUUUCUUAAUUCUUUUAGAUGUGAGAGUCUCACGGGAGAGGUGUCGGAAAAGUUACCGGAGGGAUAACUGGCUUGUGGCGGCCAAGCGUUCAUAGCGACGUCGCUUAUUGAUUCUUCGAUGUCGGCUCUUCCUAUCAUUGCGAAGCAGAAUUCGCAAAGCGUUGGAUUGUUCACCCACUAACAGGGAACGUGAGCUGGGUUUAGACCGUCGUGAGACAGGUUAGUUUUACCCUCAUGAAGACGGGUCGUCGCUACGGUCAAACUUGCCCAGUACGAGAGGAACCGUAGGUUGGGACAUUUGGUACUGCGCUCGGUGGUGCCGCCGGUGGCGCGAAGCUACCAUCCGGUAGGAGAACGGCUGAACGCCUCUAAGCCGGAAGCCUGCCCGGUGAUGGUGAGGAU